CCGUGUGCCCCAAACCCCAAGGAGAGCAGGGCUGCUUCCAGGGAGGGACCACGUCCAGGCCCCUCGCAGAGCCAGGGACGUCCUCAGGAAGGGCCGCUCCCAACUGUGUUCCCCCCUCUUCCGUUGCCCUUCCCACCCCACCCCUCCUCUGAGGAGAGCAGCCAGGCUCAUGAGGGCACUCCUAAGGGAAAGUAACGGCAAACCUACUAAAAGAUGGACAGCGAUAAGGAAUCCCACGCCUCAUCAAGUCUUAGAUGCAGCCUUUUCGUAAACACCCAAUUAUUUUCAGUUCCACUAAGAAAAGAAGAAACGCUGCCAUUGUGACUAACAGGCCAUGAAACAUGCAUCCUAAUUUCAGAAAGGUUACAAUGUAAAAUGGAUGGAAUGUGGGGAAAGAAACGGGGGGGGGGGGACUCUCCAGAUUUAGCUCAGGGUUCAACACAGUCAUCAAGGACACAGGUAUUUCUCAUCUCUCUACUUGCCACCCUCGGGACCUCACAGGUCCCCUCGGAUUGUAAGACAGCUGCCGUGGCUCCAAGCAUCGGAUCCUCACACAGCAGCAUCCAAAGGAGAGAAAAGGAAGUUUCACCUCAUGCGGCCCUUCUCAGGAAUGAAUCAAACCUUUGUCAGGGGUCCCCAGCAGGCUUCUCCCUGCAGCUUGGGCCAGAACGGCACGGUGUGGUCAUGGCCAAGAAGAGAAUGAAUGACGAAUCGGAGUCCCUCUGGGCCUGGAAAGGGGCCCGGGCUCCCCAGAGGGCCUCUGACACUUACACUAAAUCCGAGUUCUGUUACAAGGAAGAAGCGGAGGAAUCUGCCAUCUGGCUUCACACGGAAACGCUCCUCUUUUCCACCCACACGGUUUCCAGGUGGUACCCACGCUUCCAUCCGAAAGCUAGCCCGCACCUUUAGCAUAUUCUCUCUUCCCGGAGGAAGUCCUGGCUCUGAAGCCCUCAGAAGCGUUCCCCUCGCCCAGAGCAGACCCCAACCCCCAGAUGAAGCUCCGCCUGCACCACCUCCAGGGCCACACGGGCAGGCAGGGGAGGGGAGAAGGGAUGCAGUUCCCUCAUUUUCUGAUAUUCCAGGACCCGCUUAUUUCAUAACUUGUCCUGCGAUUUCUAACUCCAUUUUAGCAUAAACAUAACUCAGUGCCCGCUGGAUUGACCACAGCGAGGUGCAACCCACUUUUCAGGGGAUUCCUGCCACUCCAGACGUAUGUGACAUAUACAAUGGCCAGACAAGACUCUCUAGCAGGUGUGAAGUGCCAGUGGGCGAUUCAGAGGCUACCACUGAAUUAAGCCUGAGAGAGAACGCUGCAGCUGGCGGGAUGAGCCUCGGGGUAGAGGGGCGCUUGACGGGGCCCUGGAGGACGGAUAGGCUCCAGGGAGCCUGAGUUCGGGAGAGCCCGAUUCAGGACGCUGAGUCAGCAUCACAAAUAAAUGGCAGGCAGCCGCCACCCUUUCCCUCCUGGUUGGCGGUUCUGGCUGAUCGCUCAGGAUACACUUAUAGGGGAGUCUUCUUAACCUAGCUCCUCCCAACCGUUCACAAUAGUUGCUUAGGGGGACAUCAUUUUCCCUCCCUGCUCUGAAUUCAGUUACUUGAUGUUCUAACAUGAGGUCAGUCCCAAUAAAACAGUGGGAGCCCUUUGCUCCUAAAAUCCAGGCAUGUGGGCAUUCGGGGUAUUAGCAUUCAGCCUGUCUGCUCUUCACGUGCUAUUGGGUUUGCACCGCAGCCCUGUUUAUCUCAGAGUCCUCAGGUGUGACUGCCAGGACGUUCCAUCCAAAGCCCUCAGGUAGAUGGGGAGGAGUCCCCUCAGUCAGAACCCACACCUGGGUAACAUCUACCAGUUCAGCUGCAGUCAUACAUUCUCCUUCGGGUUGUUUGAAUAACUAACCACCUAACACCAGUCACCACACCACCAUGUUGGAGGUUGAAAGAUGUCAUCACUGUUAUGUGAUUUCUGAGCUUGACCUGGAAAUUUCAGCCACAGUAAAGAAAACGCUAUUUUUGUUAUUAUUAUGUUUUGUUAAUCCUCACCCAAUGAAAAAAUAUCCAUUGAUUUUUAGAGUGGGAGAGAGGGGGGAGAGAGAGA